AUGCUUCUUGAAGUCUGUCAGGCUUGGUGCUGUGACCACUUCCCUGGGGAGCCUGUUCCAGUGCUCAACUACCCUCUAGGUGAAGAGCCUUUUCCUAAUAUCUAGCCUAAACCUCCUCUGACACAGCUUUAUUCCAUACUUAAUGAGAG